GCCGCUGUAGCUCAGUUGGUAGAGCGCCCGCCUUGUAAGCGGACGGUCAGGGGUUCGAGUCCCCUCAGCGGCUCCA
rnacentral:tRNA from 3 species